rnacentral:tRNA from 1 species
GCGGAAGUGGUGGAACUAGGCAUACACGCAGUCUUGAGGGGGCUGUGCCCUGCUGGGCUUGCGGGUUCGAAUCCCGCCUUCCGCA